rnacentral:lncRNA from 1 species
GGCUCAGAUGCGCAGAGGCUGUAAUGAAGAGCUCUUGAACUCGCAGUCAGAGACGCUGUGACAGGAGUUCAGGAGGAUGCCUCUUUGGCUUUGCUGGACAGCCAUGGAGAAAACCCAGUUCGAUCCACGAGAUACGAUGAGCCUGAACUGUGUCCUCUGGCUCCUCUGCUCCUCACUGCAGACACAUCAACUUUUCCUCCGCCACUCGGAGUGCAGGCUGUGCUGGUGCCUCCCUCUCUGGAAAUGAGACUGCAGGCUCUAUCAUUAGAUCGGAUGGCAAGUCUUUAUGCAAAGUGUUUUGCAUAAUUACAUACCAAAGCCAGAAUAGCCACCCUCAAAUUUUAUGGGUCACAAAGCAUCAACAAUUGCUGCAUUAUUGUCCACCAAAGUCCAGCCCCACCAAUGACAAGGAACGAAAAAGAGAAGAAGAAGAGAGGGAAAGAACUCGUCUGCUUAAUCUAAGCUUGGGAGAUUGAAUUUUCAUUCUAAUAAAAAGUAAAGAAGAUUAUUUCCAACUUGUUUACAUAUAGUUGUAAAGUUCAGAGGACUUGCCAAGGCUUCAGGGAGCUUGAUCACGAGGUCCACAACAUGUGAGCAUGAUGAAGUGGCUCCAGUAAAGUCCUUCAUAUUUCUAACCUUCUGCACGGAAGUUCUAUUUAGAAAAAGGAAACUUUAAAAAGGAAAUGUAUAAGUUGUUGGCAUGAUUUUGUUAAUUUUAUUUAAGUAUUUAUUAUGCAAAUACACAAUAUUAGCACUGAAACGAGUGCAGGGAGUGUGUGUGUAUAUGUAAUACAGUAGUUAUAGUAAUUGUAUCUAAUAUUGUUAAUUAUUAUUAAAUCUGUUUUACUAAAUAUAUCGAGCCUGCGGGAGAUUUAUUUUAGCAUCCUUCAGUUCAUUAUCACCGUUGGUAAUUAAACCAGUUUAGCUGAGUGUGAAACUUUAAUUUACAAUACAUUUUUGCUGUAGUAAAGUAUAAUUAGAGGACAUUUAAAAAAUAUCCGAUGACAUUACUUGCAUUACCCCUUUUGAAAAGUACAGAAGAGUAAAGCAUAGCGAUUAAAAAGCGAAUUAAAAACGAAAGCUAUUUCAGAAUUACCUUGUUUUAUUUUUUAGUAAUGUAGAACACAAAAUAUUAUUGUAGCACAGGGAAUAAUAUCAGUAUUAGGAAUUAAUAAUAACAUCGUACUGGUUUUACAUUUUGUUUUAUGAGCGAAUAUCCGCCGUUAACAAGCCGUUGUCAUUACCAGCUCCAGCAGAGAACAGGGUCACAGAUUAAAACAGAAACAAGGAUUCCUUACAAAGAAAUAAAUGAAUUAAAAGAGUUUAAAAGGCUAGUAACAAUAGAACGUGGUUUUAGUUUUACAACGUGAAAAAUGCUGUGAUAAUACGGUAACUCAGAUAGUGGGCGAAUAAGGUUCAGAUAUUUCGAUGGUUUGUGAGAAAUACUCUUUUUAUUGAACAUAAAAAGUAUUUGAUGGUCUUGAAAACAGAUCUAUUUGACGUCUAAAAUAAUAUUCGAUAAAUGAGACACAGCCUCAUAUGACAGAUCAGACUUAUCACUGAAUAUUUGUCAAGAGCAUGAGGAUUUAAAAAGAAAAUCGAAAUAUCACCGAUGAUGACGGCUCUGGAGACUGCAGUUAUGAGGUAUUUUAAACUUAAUGUGCGACAUAUAAACGAACUGAACUUUAUCUUCACUGUCCCCUUUGUCUUUUGUGUUUUAUCUUGUAUUUUAUUUCCCCUUAAACAACCUUUAUUUUUAAUUGAUCAUUAAAUAAGUGAUAUAAUUAGUCAUAUUCUUCCAACAUGUCUUUGUACAAUGUCAAUAACAAUUGUCAAUAAAAUAUGUGAAACCAACAGCUCAAACUGUCUCACAACACUGCCUUUGCAUUCUUCUAAUAUUACAAAAAAAAUGUUUUGAUUGAGUAAUUUUGUAGAGGGAAAAAAAUAAAAGAAACCCAGUUAGACAUGUAACACAUAAUAGCCAGUCGGGGCACCGGAGCACAGCUGAGGUUAAACGUGCAGAAUAGCGCCAUCUCGCUGUUGUGGGCAGAUAUUCCUGCACUUUUUUCUUCUUCUGCUGAGACCCUCCGUGAAGAUUUGUCCUUUCAUAAGGUUGACCGAUUUCUGUGUGCAUAGCCAGCUAUGACAACAGCCUGCAUGCUGCUGUCUUUUGGCGGCCACCAGUUAUAUGUGUUAUCGCUGUUCAUUAGUGCAGGGGGUCCCGGAGCGGGUCCCGGGACCUGAGGGGGUCAGUGAGAGGAUGGCGGGUGGGGGGUGGGGGGAUGCAGCGCGUCCUCAGCAACUUGAGAAGUAGGCCUACUGUCAUUUUACUGAAUCUAAUUCAACAAAAUGAUCACAAGUACACUAGUUCCCAAUCUGAGGUCCCGGAACGCUCGUGGGUCACCAAGGGAGAUAAACAGUGUCCUCCGGAAAUCAGAGGAAUAAUUUAAUUUCUCUUGUUGGUCAUGAUGGGAUUGCAGUUGCGCAUUUACAGGAUGUAUAAAAUGUGUUGAUCCUGGAUUUCAGCCCCUCGACAGUGUGCACGAAAUCCCAUCAAGUCACGGAAAAUGUCAGAUGUGGGUCCCUGUGACAAAAUUAUUAUUAAACGGAAAUCCAGGGGCUGCAGCGCGGAGCCUGUCUGCACGGGGUGUUCUUGACAUGAGAAGGUGUGGGAGCGAAAGAGCCCUAAUGUUAGGGCAAGAGAAUAGUUACUCACACACUUAUUGUCUGCACAAUUAACAUUGUUUGGUUGGCUUGAACAUGAGAGAAAGAAAUUAUAUUAAAAAUGAUGUGGACUAAGUGAUAUAUUUAAAAAGAAUUGAGGGGAAAAUACAGAAAGGAGUAAAAAUAAUCAGCAUUACCGGAGCUGUGGAGAUUCCCAGCAAACCGUGAGUGUGUGGUGGUUGGCUGUGAAGUCAACAUUAAAGUGAUUUAUUUAUUUUAGAUUUAUUUAAACAUGUUUUAUACCACGCGACAAUAAGAAUAUUUAUUUGAAGAAAACCAGAUUAAGAAUUCAAAUAUCCAACUUCCAAAACAAUUAAGGCCUGUAGGUCAAAUAAGCGCAUGUGAAUAAUGCGUUAGAAUGCGGUUAAAGACAUACAGAAGUUAAGCUUAAACUUUGUAUUGUUCUGGUGUUCGGUCGG